rnacentral:rRNA from 1 species
GUCGAGAAUAAUUCACAAUGGACGAAAGUCUGAUGGUGCAACGCCGCGUGGAGGAUGACGGUCUUCGGAUUGUAAACUCCUGUCAUCCGGGAGUAAGACCUGGCUGUGAAUAGCAGACAGGGUUGAUAGUACCCGAAGAGGAAGGGACGGCUAACUUCGUGCCAGCAGCCGCGGUAAUACGAAGGUCCCAAGCGUUGUUCGGAAUCACUGGGCGUAAAGGGAGCGUAGGCGGCGUGGUAAGUCAGAUGUGAAAUCCCGGGGCUCAACCCCGGACAUGCAGCCGAUAAUGCCAUGCUUGAGGGUUGGAGAGGUAGCUGGAAUUCUCGGUGUAGCAGUGAAAUGCGUGGAUAUCGAGAGGAACACUCGUGGCGAAGGCGAGCUACUGGACAACAUCUGACGCUGAGGCUCGAAGGCCAGGGGAGCAAAAGGGAUUAGAUACCCGUGUAGUCC